rnacentral:rRNA from 1 species
GACGAACGCUGGCGGCGUGCUUAACACAUGCAAGUCGAACGAAGCACUUAAGAUUGAUUCUUCGGAUGAAGUCUUUUGUGACUGAGUGGCGGACGGGUGAGUAACGCGUGGGUAACCUGCCUCAUACAGGGGGAUAACAGUUAGAAAUGACUGCUAAUACCGCAUAAGCGCACAGGACCGCAUGGUCUGGUGUGAAAAACUCCGGUGGUAUGAGAUGGACCCGCGUCUGAUUAGCUAGUUGGUAAGGUAACGGCUUACCAAGGCAACGAUCAGUAGCCGACCUGAGAGGGUGACCGGCCACAUUGGGACUGAGACACGGCCCAAA